AUUGAACGCUGGCGGCAGGCUUAACACAUGCAAGUCGAGCGAGCGGCGGACGGGUGCGUAAUGUAUGGGAAACUGCCUGAUGGAGGGGGAUAACUACUGGAAACGGUAGCUAAUCCCGCAUACCAUCAGAUGUGCCCAGAUGGGAUUAGCUAGUAGGUGGGGUAAUGGCUCACCUAGGCGCCGAUCCCUCGCUGGGCUGAGAGUAUGACCAGCCACACUGGAACUGAGACACGUUCCAGACUCCUACGGGAGGCAGCAGUGGGGAAUAUUGACCAAUGGGCGAAAGCCUGAUGCAGCCAUGCCGCGUGUGUGAAGAAGGCCGUCGGGUUGUAAAGCACUUUCAGCGAGGAGGCGUUACUCGCAGAAGAAGCACCGGCUAACUCCGUGCCAGCAGCCGCGGUAAUUC
rnacentral:rRNA from 1 species